UCGGGUAGUGACAGCAGGAGCUUCGAAUCUUCGACACACAGGACACAUCACUAGUUAUCAGGCCUUAUUCCAGUUUUUAAAAGACAAUAAACAUUUGGGGAGGGCUUGAGGGUCGACAGUCCAUACCAGUUGGUGGCGGUAACUCACCAUUUUAUUGUUUGCAAACCGCCAAUAAAACUUAAGAAGAAGCAGGGGGAGGAAACGAAGAAGAAGGGGCGUGCGUACUGUGCUCUUUGCUGUCUUUCCGCCGUUUUAAAAAUGGACACUUUUUGAAGAACCCGUAUCAAAGUAUUGUGGAGAAGCGUCGUGUUAAAUCUAAUCGAUGAACGGCUUUUUGUCAGUUCUGACGAGGACACCUGAGUGAUGUUGUUGGUGAGCUUGGAUUAAAUCAUCUCUAAACAAAGAACUUGUCCUCGUGGUGACUGACUUGGGGAGUGGAGGAGAAAGAAGUGAAAGCAGGCUGAAACCUCAGCACAUGGAUGAUAUCAACCAAAAACAUCCAGCACCAGCAAGUAAAGAUGAGCCAGCGGCGAUCCCUGUGGAAAAGACUUUUUCCGCUAUGAAGCAGCCCAGAAGACGCAAGCGCGCCAACAGUGAGGACAGAAGCUUGAGCUGUGAUCAGUGUGGGAAGACCUUUACUCAGACUGGUAAAUUAAAAUCACAUCAGCUGAUCCACGCCGGUGUGAAACCAUUCAGCUGUGAUCAAUGUGGAAAGACCUUUACUCAGAGAUGGAACUUAAAUCAACAUCAAGUCGUCCACACGAAAUUUAAAGCUUUCAACUGUGAUCUGUGUGGGAUGUCUUUCACUCAGAAAGCUCACUUAAAAUCACAUCAGCUGUUCCACACCGGUGUGAAACCAUUCAGCUGUGAUCAAUGUGGAAAGACCUUUACUCAGAGAUGCAGCUUAAAAAAACAUCAGCUAAUCCACAGCGGUGUGAAACCAUUCAGCUGUGAUCUGUGUGGGAUGUCUUUUACUCAGAAAGCUCACUUAAAAUCACAUCAGCUGAUCCACACCGGUGUGAAACCAUUCAGCUGUGAUCAAUGUGGAAAGACCUUUACUCAGAGAUGGAACUUAAAUCAACAUCAAGUCGUCCACACGAAAUUUAAAGCUUUCAACUGUGAUCUGUGUGGGAUGUCUUUUACUCAGAAUGGUAACUUGAAAUCACAUCAGCUGAUCCACACCGGUGUGAAACCAUUCAGUUGUGAUCAGUGUGGAAAGACCUUUACUCGUAGAUCAAGCUUAAAAGCACAUCAGGUCGUCCACACUGAAUUUAAAGCUUUCAACUGUGAUCUGUGUGGGAUGUCUUUUACUCAGAAAGCUCACUUAAAAUCACAUCAGCUGUUCCACACCGGUGUGAAACCAUUCAGCUGUGAUCAGUGUGAAAAGACCUUUACUCUGAAAGAUCAUUUAAAGGUACAUCAGCUGAUCCACAGCGGUGUGAAACCAUUCACCUGUGGUGAGUGCAGAAAGUCUUUUAUUCAGAGUUACCGCUUAAAAGCACAUCAGCUCAUCCACAGUGAAGUUAAACCAUUCAGCUCUUAUCAGUGUGGAAAUUCUUUUACUGCGAUUGAUAGGUUAAAAAUGCAUCAGCUCAUCCACUCUGGAGUUAAAUCAUUUGUAUGUGGUCAGUGUGGAAAGUCUUUCAUCCAUAACAAAAAUCUAUUGACGCAUCAAAAGACCCACAAAGUGUCCUCCUGUGAGAAAAGGGGCAGACCAAUGGGACAUUACCCUGACAGGGUUCAUUUGAACACAGUGGGAGAAACAGGGGAUCUGAACAAAAGUUCUUCUGGAUGCUGCGUCAAAUUUAAAAAGCUUGAGAUCAGGCUUCACAGAAUUCAGCUUUAAUUUCCUGAGAAAGUCAGAGCUUCACUAUGUCUUUGUAGAUCUAGUGAAAACAUGAAAGGGUGCAAAAAGAGGCACUGUGGUACUGCAUGAUGAAGUCAGAAGUGACAGAGAAGUAUGUGAGCGUGGUUCAGGACAUGUGUGUGUGGUAGCAGUGACUACCACACAUACUUGGGUUGAAGGUGGGGGGAGGAUUACAUCAAUUCUGAGCCCCUUCUUCCUUUUUCAAAGCGAGGGCAAUACUCAGGAAAGGAUGAUGACAAUAGAGCUGCAAGACAGGAUGGAAAGAAAAAGCGUUUAAGAGAAGAUCAUGAAUGUUGUGAAGCGAUUGAGCCACAAUUACAAAAUCUUAGCUUAUGGAGUUAGUUAUCCCAAUACAAGUUAAGCAAGUUAAACUUCACUGGCUGUGUCCACAAACAGCAUACAGAGCAAACAUUACUCCAUCAUCUGAUCACAAGAAAAGCAAAAUGUCAGAAGAGUUCACCUUCUGGGUCAAACUGUCAGACCUGUUACUGUUUAUUUGGCUGUUCAUCGUGAGGUAAUUAUCAGUGUCAGUGCUGUGCCACUUCUAUUGUAACUCACAUGAAAUGUGUUUUAAAUGGGCUCUGUUGUCUUACAAUGUUGUGUGAGUCUAUUUUGCUACAUAAAGACUGAACCCCUCCUGCAAUGUUUAAUGUUACAGCAAAAAAAAAAGGUAAAUUCAUAAAUUUGUCAUUUUUUAAACAGGCAUGUGUUGCAGUAAAAAUAUUUUUAUUGUAAGUCAUAAACUUUACUCAUUUUAUCCA